CGCGGCCUAUCAGCUUGUUGGUGAGGUAACGGCUCACCAAGGCAUCGACGGGUAGCUGGUCUGAGAGGACGAUCAGCCACACUGGGACUGAGACACGGCCCAGACUCCUACGGGAGGCAGCAGUAGGGAAUCUUGCGCAAUGGGCGAAAGCCUGACGCAGCAACGCCGCGUGGGGGAUGAAUGCCUUCGGGUUGUAAACCCCUUUCAGCAGGGACGAAAAUGACGGUACCUGCAGAAGAAGCUCCGGCCAACUACGUGCCAGCAGCCGCGGUAAUACGUAGGGAGCGAGCGUUGUCCGGAAUUAUUGGGCGUAAAGAGCUCGUAGGCGGUUCAGUAAGUCGGGUGUGAAAACUCAAGGCUCAACCUUGAGACGCCACUCGAUACUGCUGUGACUUGAGUCCGGUAGAGGAGUGUGGAAUUCCUGGUGUAGCGGUGGAAUGCGCGGAUAUCAGGAGGAACACCAAUGGCGAAGGCAGUCUUCUGGGCCGGUACUGACGCUGAGGAGCGAAAGCAUGGGGAGCAAACAGGAUUAGAUACCCUGGUAGUCCAUGCCGUAAACGUUGGGCACUAGGUGUGGGGUCUUCUAACGGAUUCCGUGCCGUAGCUAACGCAUUAAGUGCCCCGCCUGGGGAGUACGG
rnacentral:rRNA from 1 species